rfam:Strongyloides papillosus strain LIN genome assembly, scaffold: SPAL_scaffold0000015
AUCUCUUGGGUUUGGACAGUCAAACGAGAAAUUUUUUCGCCUUUUACUAAAAAAUUCCGUGUCCAAACCCAUCAAAGAGCAUUUUGUAAUUUUUGGAGGCUCUCCUUCGGGGGAGCG